GAAAUGCGAUAAGUAAUGUGAAUUGCAGAAUUCAGUGAAUCAUCGAAUCUUUGAACGCACCUUGCACUCCUUGGUAUUCCGAGGAGUAUGCCUGUUUGAGUGUCAUCAAGUUCUCAAAAAAGACCCCUUCAACUUUGUAUAGGGCUUUUUUGGAUGUGAGGGUUUCUUGCUGGCUUCAAUCGAGUCGGCUCCCUUUAAAUGCAUUAGUGGUUGCUUCAAUUCACUUGAGAGUGUGAUAGUUUAAUAUAUCUAUGCUCAUUACAAGGUGGAUAACAAAAGCUUGAUCCGCUUCCAACUUGAAUGGUCUUGUUUUUCAAGGCUUUUUGAUGUUGACCAUAUGACCUCAGAUCAGGUAGGACUACCCGCUGAACUUAA
rnacentral:rRNA from 1 species